rnacentral:rRNA from 1 species
GACGAACGCUGGCGGCGUGCUUAACACAUGCAAGUCGAACGGUGAAGCGCCUUCCUUUUUGGUGGGUGUGGAUGAGUGGCGAACGGGUGAGUAACACGUGAGUAACCUGCCCCCUUCUUCUGGAUAACCGCAUGAAAGUGUGGCUAAUACGGGAUAUUCUGGGUCUGUCGCAUGAUGGGUCUGGGAAAGAUAUUGUUUCGGUGGGGGAUGGGCUCGCGGCCUAUCAGCUUGUUGGUGGGGUGAUGGCCUACCAAGGCGGUGACGGGUAGCCGGCCUGAGAGGGUGGACGGUCACACUGGGACUGAGACACGGCCCAGACUCCUACGGGAGGCAGCAGUGGGGAAUAUUGCACAAUGGGCGCAAGACUGAUGCAGCGACGCCGCGUGAGGGAUGGAGGCCUUCGGGUUGUGAACCUCUUUCGCCAGUGAAGCAGGCCUGCCUCGUUUGUGGGUGGGUUGACGGUAGCUGGAGAAGAAGCGCCGGCUAACUACGUG